UAAUUUUAUUUGUUUUAAAUUUUUUCUAUAUGAUGAUCAACACCUAGUAUUCAAUAUGGGGAUGUUAGAAAGUGUUUUUGCUCUUUUGAUAUCUUUUCUUUUCAAUUGUAUAUUUAGUUAAACAUCUUUUGUUGUCAUCAUUUUAUUAGUACUUAAUUUAGUUUUAAUUUUCUUUAAUUUAAAAUUUAAAUCCAUUGAUCUACAUGGGUAACAUUGCAUAGUUUUUGUUCUAAGUACUAGUUUUUACAUGUUAAUGAUGUAAUAUUAUUUUUAGCCUCAAAAAUAUUAAAUAGCCAACAGAAUUUAUUAUUUUUUAUCAGUAAUUAGUCAAUAAUAUUUAAAAAUAAUAUUCUAUAUGAUGAUCAACACCUAGUAUUCAAUAUGGGGAUGUUAGAAAGUGUUUUUGCUCUUUUGAUAUCUUUUCUUUUCAAUUGUAUAUUUAGUUAAACAUCUUUUGUUGUCAUCAUUUUAUUAGUACUUAAUUUAGUUUUAAUUUUCUUUAAUUUAAAAUUUAAAUCCAUUGAUCUACAUGGGUAACAUUGCAUAG
rnacentral:lncRNA from 1 species